rnacentral:rRNA from 1 species
UACGUAGGGCGCAAGCGUUAUCCGGAAUUAUUGGGCGUAAAGAGCUCGUAGGCGGCUUGUCGCGUCGGCUGUGAAAUCCCGUGGCUCAACUGCGGGUCUGCAGCCGAUACGGGCAGGCUAGAGUUCGGUAGGGGAGACUGGAAUUCCUGGUGUAGCGGUGAAAUGCGUAGAUAUCUGGAGGAACACCGGUGGCGAAGGCGGCAUCCUGGACCGGCAUUGACGCUGAGGCGCGAAAGCUAGGGGAGCAAACGGG